CGAACUUGGCAGAGAUGCCUUGGUGCCUUCGGAACGCUGAGACAGGUGCUGCAUGGCUGUCGUCAGCUCGUGUUGUGAAAUGUUGGGUUAAGUCCCGNAACGAGCGCAACCCUUAUCCUUUGUUGCCAGCGAUUCGGUCGGGAACUCAAAGGAGACUGCCGGUGAUAAACCGGAGGAAGGUGGGGAUGACGUCAAGUCAUCAUGGCCCUUACGAGUAGGGCUACACACGUGCUACAAUGGCGCAUACAAAGAGAAGCGACCUCGCGAGAGCAAGCGGACCUCAUAAAGUGCGUCGUAGUCCGGAUCGGAGUCUGCAACUCGACUCCGUGAAGUCGGAAUCGCUAGUAAUCGUGGAUCAGAAUGCCACGGUGAAUACGUUCCCGGGCCUUGUACACACCGCCCGUCACACCAUGGGAGUGGGUUGCAAAAGAAGUAGGUAGCUUAACCCUCGGGAGGGCGCUUACCACUUUGUGAUUCAUGACUGGGGUGAAGUCGUAACAAGGUAAGCGUAGCGAG
rnacentral:rRNA from 1 species